rnacentral:lncRNA from 1 species
UUAAAAACGCACUCUUCUUCGUUUAAAGGACAAUGGCAGCAUCUCAGUCCCCGACCUCGACCUCGACCUCGACCUCUCAGGUGAGUAGUAGACUUUGGUCAUAGGUUAAUAAGCUUAAUUAAUUAGAUUUUAGUCAUGAUUUAUGAGUCUCAGUUGGGGUUGAUCUGUUUUGCCUCCAACUUGUGUGUUAGCAUAGCAAUAUCCUACCAUAUAUCUCCCUUUAAUAUAAAAUGUUAGUUAACCGUUUUUAAUGGGUUCCAUUCAAUGAAGUUUGAAGAAUCUAAUCUUCUUGUUAAAUGAACAACUUUUAUUAGUUAUUACCAGUCAUACGAAGAAGAAAUGGGGAAUUUGACGUUGUCAAGUAUGUAUUAGAGUAUGUAUUAGACUAUUACCCUAACAACUCUUUAAUUGAAUGAAUUCAAUUGUACAUCUUGCUGCUUUUGAUGAUCCAUUUCUUUCUUGUUCUUCUAGUACUUUUAGUUUUUAUGACUGUUUUUCAAACUAACUGCAUUUUCCCUUUGGAAGAAUUCCAUUCUAAGCUCAGUUUCAAAACAAGAAAGUAGAAGCAGUACUGAGAUCGAUAUAGAUCCAUUCAAAGAAAAACACAGAAGAACUGAAGAAGAGAGUUUUGUAGAAGCAGUACUGAGAUCGAUAUAGAUCCAUUCAAAGAAAAACACAGAAGAACUGAAGAAGAGAGUUUUCUUAGCCAUUGGAUUUAGAUGUGAA